rnacentral:lncRNA from 1 species
GGUUGCAUCAGCGAGGGAUUCACGGCGAAAUGAGACUGUUCGUGAGUGAUGGCGUCCCGGGUUGCUUGCCGGUGCUGGCCGCCGCCGGGAGAGCCCGGGGCAGAGCAGAGGUGCUCAUCAGCACUGUAGGCCCGGAAGAUUGUGUGGUCCCGUUCCUGACCCGGCCUAAGGUCCCUGUCUUGCAGCUGGAUAGCGGCAACUACCUCUUCUCCACUAGUGCAAUCUGCCGGUCAGUAUUGGUCCUUGGUGUAGGGAGGUGGCUGAAUCAAAUCAGGCCUCACUGUCAUUUGUGUGGCUUUAUUUGCAGCCAUUGUUUCCCUGUGUGAUGAGAAAUGGGCUAAAUGGGCCCCUCUAAGUCCAUCAUCUGUUGCUCUCUCUCUGGGCAGAUAUUUUUUUUUGUUAUCUGGCUGGGAGCAAGAUGACCUCACUAACCAGUGGCUGGAAUGGGAAGCGACAGAGCUGCAGCCAGCUUUGUCUGCUGCCCUGUACUAUUUAGUGGUCCAAGGCAAGAAGGGGGAAGAUGUUCUUGGUUCAGUGCGGAGAGCCCUGACUCACAUUGAC